rnacentral:rRNA from 1 species
UAAGGAAUAUUGGUCAAUGGACGCAAGUCUGAACCAGCCAUGCCGCGUGAGGGAUGAAGGUCCUCUGGAUUGUAAACCUCUUUUAUCAGGGAAGAAAUGUCUCAUUUCUAUGGGAUUUGACGGUACCUGAGGAAUAAGCACCGGCUAACUCCGUGCCAGCAGCCGCGGUAAUACGGAGGGUGCAAGCGUUAUCCGGAUUUACUGGGUUUAAAGGGUGCGUAGGCGGGCCUUUAAGUCAGUGGUGAAAUCCCCGGGCCUAACCCGGGAACUGCCAUUGAUACUAUUGGUCUUGAAUUCAGUUGAGGUGGGCGGAAUGUGUCGUGUAGCGGUGAAAUGCUUAGAUAUGACACAGAACACCGAUUGCGAAGGCAGCUCGCUAAACUGACAUUGACGCUGAGGCACGAAAGCGUGGGGAUCAAACAG